GUGCCUAAUACAUGCAAGUCGAACGCACUGACGGAGAACUUGUUCUCUUGACGUGAGUGGCGCACGGGUGAGUAACACGUGGGAAACCUACCCUUCAGCGGGGGAUAACCAUCGGAAACGAUGACUAAUACCGCAUAGACGACAGAACCGCCUGGUUCAAUCGGGAAAGACGGCUUCGGCUGUCACUGAAGGAUGGUCCCGCGCUGCAUUAGCUAGUUGGUAAGGUAACGGCUUACCAAGGCGAUGAUGCAUAGCCGACCUGAGAGGGUGAUCGGCCACAUUGGGACUGAGACACGGCCCAAACUCCUACGGGAGGCAGCAGUAGGGAAUCUUCCGCAAUGGACGCAAGUCUGACGGAGCAACGCCGCGUGUGUGAAGAAGGUUUUCGGAUCGUAAAGCACUGUUAUUAGAGAAGAACAGCCGAUAGAGUAACUGUUAUCGGUUUGACGGUAUCUAACCAGAAAGUGACGGCUAACUACGUGCCAGCAGCCGCGGUAAUACGUAGGUCACAAGCGUUGUCCGGAUUUAUUGGGCGUAAAGGGAGCGCAGGCGGUUUGUUAAGUCUGAUGUGAAAGCCCACGGCUCAACCGUGGAACGGCAUUGGAAACUGGCAAACUUGAGUAUAGAAGAGGAAAGUGGAAUUCCAUGUGUAGCGGUGAAAUGCGUAGAUAUAUGGAGGAACACCAGUGGCGAAGGCGACUUUCUGGUCUAUAACUGACGCUGAGGCUCGAAAGCGUGGGGAGCGAACAGGAUUAGAUACCCUGGUAGUCCACGCCGUAAACGAUGAGUGUUAAGUGUUGGGGGGCUUCCACCCCUCAGUGCUGGCGUUAACGCAAUAAACACUCCGCCUGGGGAGUACGACCGCAAGGUUGAAACUCAAAUGAAUUGACGG
rnacentral:rRNA from 1 species